ACACACCGGACUUUGUUUCUACACUGCUGCUACUCGCUGUUAAUCAUCUAUGCAUAGUCACUUUAACCCUACCUACAUGUACAAAUGACCUGGACUAACCUGUACCCCGGCACAUUGACUCUGUACCGGUACCUCCUGUAAAUGGCCUCAUUUUAUUAUCAUUUUUAUUGUGUUCUUUUUUGUUGUUGCUUUAGUUUAUUAAUUAUUUAGUCAAAAUGUUCUUAAAUCUAUUUUCUCAAAACGGUAUUGUUGGUAAGUAAGCAUUUCACGGUAAGGUCUACACCUGCUUAAAUACCAUUUGAUUUGAUUUGAUCGGGCGUGGGUGAAGAACCAGGGGUCCGUUCAAAAUGACUCAAGGCAACAGUGAGGCAGAGCAGACAGGACGUGCUAAGAAGAUGAUUUGUCUCAUCAUUAGGGAAUAGGGACAAACCUGUUGUCUCUUCCAGAGCGUGGAAAGAAAACACAAGAAGAAUGUUGCAUGAACACGAGGACAAAACACUGCAGAACUUCAUUUUCCAUCUUCAUGCAGCCUACGGUUAAAUAACUUGGGAAGUUUUCGAAGCAAAGUGCAGUGUAGGCAGAAAAUCCGUCUUGGCUGUGGGUUGUGUUGAUGCGUAUCCAACUCGAUAGAUUCACAACGUGCUGUUCAUGCAGAUCAAGGCUCUACUGUACAUUACACACAUUGAUUUGCCAUUAAGGGACAGAAAGUGUUGCAUAAUAUAAUAACAAUCGAUCAGAAAAAAAAAUGUAGGAUCAGAAUGUGCCGGUAUACACACUUUACUUAAAAACGUCACUUUACACUGGAUCCAACUCCAACUCUACAUGAACACAACAAAGCGUUAGCUAGCGAGAGCCAGAUAACUCAAAGACUUUGUAUACGACACAGAGCACAACACACUGGCUUGUCGAUCAAUCAACAGUUAUCACACAUAGGAGUAGGGCAAUGGGUUCAGUGCCAUUGAGAGCCAGUCAGUCAGUCAGUGAGUGAGUCAGAGCUGGCCCGUCAGAUUACACUGGUCCUUACAACUGGCCUUCAGGUGUUGGCCCGUCAGAUUACACUGGUCCUUACAACUGGCCUUCAGGUGUUGGCCCGUCAGAUUACACUGGUCCUUACAACUGGCCUUCAGGUGUUGGCCCGUCAGAUUACACUGGUCCUUACAACUGGCCUUCAGGUGUUGGCCCGUCAGAUUACACUGGUCCUUACAACUGGCCUUCAGGUGUUGGCCCGUCAGAUUACACUGGUCCUUACAACUGGCCUUCAGGUGUUGGCCCGUCAGAUUACACUGGUCCUUACAACUGGCUGUCAGGUGUUGGCCCGUCAGAUUACACUGGUCCUUACAACUGGCCUUCAGGUGUUGGCCCGUCAGAUUACACUGGUCCUUACAACUGGCCUUCAGGUGUUGGCCCGUCAGAUUACACUGGUCCUUACAACUGGCCUUCAGGUGUUGGCCCGUCAGAUUACACUGGUCCUUACAACUGGCCUUCAGGUGUUGGCCCGUCAGAUUACACUGGUCCUUACAACUGGCCUUCAGGUGUUGGCCCGUCAGAUUACAACUGGC